rnacentral:lncRNA from 1 species
AAUAUUAAAAACAGUUCAUGUGUUUCCUUCUUACAGGUAGAGGAGGUGGCGAGAGAGGACAAGAGAGGGCAAGAGACUACCACUGUGGGCACAACAGCAGCUCCAGGCAGGGAGAAGACAGCUUGUUGAAGUGUAUGGAGCAAGGAGGCAAAAUGAAGGCAGCCCCCAACUACAGGUGUCAGAAAAGGCAGUGCCAAGAGGAAUCAGAAGUCUAUCACAAUACAUAUGAAAGUGGAGGUGCUGCAGAGGUUUGAGGAGGGUGAGAAACUGACAGACUGCCUGGGCCGUGGGGCUGACCAUCUGCACUGUUGCCUCCAUCCGUGUCAACAAAGGUCGGAUCUUGGCCAGUUCUCAGGUGGCCACUCCAGUCAGUGCCAGGCAGCUGACCUGCUGUUGGAGUAUGGUGAUGAGCCAUAUGGAGAGCCAGCAUGUUGCUUAUCCAGGACAAGACACACCAGCUUCUUGCAUGGCUUCAAUAGAGCAGGGCAAUAGUGCUCAGACUGAAAACUUUGGGGCCAGCAAUGGCUGGUUUGUCCAUUUCAAGAUAUGCCACGAUGACACCCAGGCUGCUGCUUGAUAACCCAAAGUUAUACACCAUCCUGAAGGAGGGCUGCUACUUACCACCCCAGGCCUUCAAUGUGGAUAAGACAGGCCUGUUCUGGAAGCGGCUGCUUGAGAGGGUGUCUGGGCUGGGCCCAAGACUUCUAAGUAUCACCUAACUCUGCUACUGGGUGGCAGUGCUUCUGGUGAUUUCAAGCUAAAGCCCCUUGGAGAAUCUGCACUCCCUCAAGGGCUGCUGCAAGGCCAGCCUGCCUGUGGUCUGAUACUCCAACCACCAUGACUGGCUGACUCCUAACAUCUUCCAGAAAUGGUUCACUGGACCCUUCUGUCCCACCAUGGAAAGCUACCAUGCCCUACUGCUCCUGGAUGGUGUAACUUGCCACCCUCCCUGUACACCUGGGUGACACCUCAGGCAUGUUGAGUUCCUACCUAAGAACACCUCAAUUUCUAUCCAGCUCAUGAACGAGGGCAUCACUGCUGCCUUCAAGACCUAUUACCUGUGCUGCAUGCUCAACCAGCCAGUCCAGGAAAUAGCUGGUGAGGCCCAACUCUCUGCAUAGGAGUUUUGGCACAGCUAUACUGUCAAGACCACAGUGCACAAUGCUGCUGAGGCCUGGGCAGAACUGCACCCAUUACUGUGAACAGGGCUUGGAGGAUUGUAUCACUGAGCCUGAUAGCGUUCCCUGGUUCUGCCAUAGCACUACAGUGCUAACCAGCCAUGUGGUCGUGCUUGGGGAUGUGGCUGAGGCAGAUGUCGCCUGCCUCUGCAGGCCCAUGGAGAGCUCUCCAGAUCCUGCAGGGUCCCCCUGGACUCAGAGGAUGGGGAUGCCAGCAGCUCUAGGCUGCUCUGGGAGGAGGGGAAAGGCCUAUUUUUAACAAGGCCAGAGACAGAGCUCACAGAAGGUGCAGGGAUUGAGGAAGUUGGUGUGGUAGUGCUGAGCCAUGAGCAUCUGGCCCUGGCCCUGUCCUACCUUGUUUCUGGCCUUCAGGUCCUUAUAGAGAAUGACCCCAUUUGGGAGUGCAGUCUGCAUGUCUUGGGAUGUCCACAGAGCUUUUGCCUGCCUCCAGGAGCUGUACUGACACAGGGGGUGGCAGGUUCAGAAGGUGCAUCCUCAGGAGGCCCUGUGGUCGUGGCAGCAAGAAUUCAAAGGAAGGGCUGGUGUUGUGGCUCAGAGGUAGAAUCACUUGCCUGCCAUGCGUGAGGUCCUGGGUUCAAUCCUCAGCACCACAUAAAAAUAAAAUAAAGAUAUUGUGUCCACAUAUAACUAAAAAUAAAUAAAUAAAUAUUUAAAAAAAAGAAUUCAAAGGAAGCCUAUCCUCACUACAGCAGGGGCCUGCAGAAGAUGGAUGUGUUGGGGACCACAAAUCAAGUCAAGAUAGCGCCUGGCAGUUUGCCAGGAGGAGUGGUUUGUGAGGCAACACCACGGAGCCAUUAAGAUGGUGAGGAUUCCUUAUUGGCUGAUUGCUGUAUCUGGAUGAUGCUAACUGAGUCAAGCUGUGUGUAAUCAGUUAGGUAUAUAUACCACUGUUGUUCCGUAAUAAAGCAGUUCCCGCUUCAACCUUCAAGUUGCUUGUC